GUGGGGUAAUGGCCUACCAAGGCGACGACGGGUAGCCGGCCUGAGAGGGCGACCGGCCACACUGGGACUGAGACACGGCCCAGACUCCUACGGGAGGCAGCAGUGGGGAAUAUUGCACAAUGGGCGGAAGCCUGAUGCAGCGACGCCGCGUGAGGGAUGACGGCCUUCGGGUUGUAAACCUCUUUCGCCAGGGACGAAGCGUAAGUGACGGUACCUGGAGAAGAAGCACCGGCCAACUACGUGCCAGCAGCCGCGGUAAUACGUAGGGUGCGAGCGUUGUCCGGAAUUACUGGGCGUAAAGAGCUCGUAGGCGGUUUGUCGCGUCGAUCGUGAAAACUUGAGGCUCAACCUUAAGCUUGCGGUCGAUACGGGCAGACUUGAGUACUGCAGGGGAGACUGGAAUUCCUGGUGUAGCGGUGAAAUGCGCAGAUAUCAGGAGGAACACCGGUGGCGAAGGCGGGUCUCUGGGCAGUAACUGACGCUGAGGAGCGAAAGCGUGGGUAGCGAACAGGAUUAGAUACCCUGGUAGUCCACGCCGUAAACGGUGGGCGCUAGGUGUGGGUUUCCUUCCACGGGAUCCGUGCCGUAGCUAACGCAUUAAGCG
rnacentral:rRNA from 1 species